UCAAAAAAGUUUCAGAUCCUAUUCUAUGAGCCAAAAAGAUUUAUUUUCUCUCCUUUAGGCUAUUUAUAGUUCCCCAAAAAUUAGCCAAAAUUUCAUCAAAUUUCUUAGUUGACAAUGUUUAUCGUUCUCGUCGACUUGUUCUUCUUCUCGCCUUUCUUGAUUUCAGGCUUCAGGUGUUUGAACCACAGUUGGUGAGCACGAUGGAGU
rnacentral:lncRNA from 1 species